AUAGUGAUAGUUAAGAAAUAAUAAAGGAUUUGCAUUCCUUAGUCGGGCUUACUCCCUCAUU
rnacentral:tRNA from 1 species